AGAACGAACGCUGGCGGCAUGCCUAACACAUGCAAGUCGAACGAGACCUUCGGGUCUAGUGGCGCACGGGUGCGUAACGCGUGGGAAUCUGCCCUUGGGUUCGGGAUAACAGUUGGAAACGACUGCUAAUACCGGAUAAUGACUUCGGUCCAAAGAUUUAUUGCCCAGGGAUGAGCCCGUCGUAGGAUUAGCUAGUUGGUGAGGUAAAGGCUCACCAAGGCGACGAUCCUUAGCUGGUCUGAGAGGAUGAUCAGCCACACUGGGACUGAGACACGGCCCAGACUCCUACGGGAGCAGCAGUGGGGAAUAUUGGACAAGU
rnacentral:rRNA from 1 species